rnacentral:lncRNA from 1 species
AGAAGGCUUCAUUUGCUCUGAGUUAUCAUUGAGAACUAAAUGGAGAAGAAAAGAACUGAAGGCCUGAAGAUAUGUCAUCUGUAGAAAAGAUGGACAUCUGAAAUCAUCAAACCCUUGAGAGAAACAGCCCUCAUUCUUUUAUGAGACAACCUGGAAGAACACAGGACUCUGAAGAUUUGUCUCCAUAUUCUCUGGAAAGAUGUACUCUGUUUGCAAUAAGAGGGAGCCACAUGGUUUAUUAGAUGGUUAUUAAUUGAGCAUUCUGUGCAAAGAAGUUUGUGCCUUAGAUUUAGAAUUCCACCCUCAGUUGGAAUACAGAUGAUCCCUAACAAGUCACAUGAAAAAAUGAAUUGUGGAGCCAGAAGAGUGAGUUCUUGGAGAACUAAGGGCCAGAGACCUGUGAGCAAGAUUUGAUAAUUUUAUAAAAAUUAAAAGACGAUUUGAAAUGUUAUUGGUCUUACAAAAACUUUUACUUGUGAACUGCAAUUGAUGACAUGA